rnacentral:rRNA from 1 species
GCUGAAUAUACCGGUUCUCGUUAGAUCACCGAAGUCAAGCAUCAUUGGGCGCGGUCAGUACUUGGGUGGGUGACCACCUGGGAACACCGCGCGCCGUU